AGCUAAUAGAUACCCAGGUAGUCCACGCCCUAAACGAUGUCUACUAGUUGUUGGUGGAGUAAAAUCCAUGAGUAAACGCAGCUAACGCGUGAAGUAGACCGCCUGGGGAGUACGGUCGCAAGAUUAAAACUCAAAGGAAUUGACGGGGGCCCGGCACAAGCGGUGGAUUAUGUGGAUUAAUUCGAUGCAACGCGAAAACCUUAACCUGGCCUUGACAUGCCACUAACGAAGCAGAGAUGCAUUAAGGUGCCCGUAACGGGAAAGUGGACACAGGUGCUGCAUGGCUGUCGUCAGCUCGUGUCGUGAGACGUUGGGUUAAGUCCCGCAACGAGCGCAACCCUUGCCAUUAAUUGCCAUCAUUUAGUUGGGCACUUUAAUGGGACUGCCGGUGACAAACCGGAGGAAGGUGGGGAUGACGUCAAGUCCUCAUGGCCCUUAUGGCCAGGGCUUCACACGUAAUACAAUGGUCGGUACAGAGAGUUGCCAACCCGCGAGGGGUAGCUAAUCUCAGAAAGCCGAUCGUAGUCCGGAUUGUUCUCUGC
rnacentral:rRNA from 1 species